rnacentral:misc_RNA from 1 species
GCUCCGUAGGUGAACCUGCGGAGGGAUCAUCACAGAGUUCAUGCCCUACCGGGUAGAUCUCCCACCCUAUGUUAUUGUUACUUUGUUGCUUUGGCGGGCCGUUAGGCUCCGGCCCGACUACCGGCCCCGGCUGGUAAGCGCCCGCCAGAGGACCCAAAACCCUGAAUAUUAGUGUCGUCUGAGUACUAUAUAAUAGUUAAAACUUUCAACAACGGAUCUCUUGGUUCUG